rnacentral:rRNA from 1 species
GCCUUUGGGUGGGGAAUAACUCAGGGAAACUUGAGCUAAUACCGCAUAAUGCAGCGGCUCGACAUCGAGACAGUUGUUAAAGCGGGGAUUCGUAAGAACCUCGCGCCUAAAGAGAAGCCUGCGGCAGAUUAGCUAGUUGGUAAGGUAAUGGCUUACCAAGGCGACGAUCUGUAACCGGCCUGAGAGGGCGGUCGGUCACACUGACACUGACAUACGGGUCAG